rnacentral:lncRNA from 1 species
UUGUAUGCGCUCAUAGGGGGGCAAUCAGGAGAAAGUGGUGGUAUGGAGACCCAAUCCAUGAAGCAGAUACCUUUUGAGAAUUCUGAAUAUCCUUGGGCUGUUCAAACCAGCGUGUUCCUAUUGCUAUGUCUCCUGCAUGUGUUCCAGGGCUGGUCUAAGGUUAAACAGCUACUUAAGAAUCCCACCCAGAGAUUUGCUCUGGGGCUGGAUAUUUCUGAGUGGCAGGGUGUGUGGAAUAGCAUGGGCAAGUACCUAGGACAGUGGGCAUCUCCAGCAUAUUGGAACUUCACCCUUGAAGAAGUGCAGAAUCUGGAAAAGCUAGUAAAACAUCUGGAAAAAGUAUGCUGUCACCCUGUCUAUUCCAGAGAGGCACAAAGGACUGCAACAUGCUGGGGCCUGGCCCAGGCCUCCCAGGUAAUCUUUGACAUUAUUCAUUAUCCUCAAGAGAAAAAGAAGCUCUCUGAAUCUGAUGACAAGACAAAAGAAACUGGAGCUACUCCAACCUUAGUGACAGGCACUGAGGUUACUCCAACCCUGGUGUCAGGCACAGCACCUGAACCAGGGAACCAGCCUGUGCUGGUAUCAGUUGCCCCUAUACACAAGAAGUAAUGGACACAAAAGUCAGCUUCUUUAGUAAAGGAGAACAAAGCCACCACAAAGAACAGGAAGAAGAGGCAGAACAAGGUGGGACCUUCCAACAUCAGGAUACACAUUUAGCAAAUGCCACCUGGUUAAUGAACACUAAGGGAUCUGCCAGCUGGGCUGGCCCUGCUCAAUCAGAAUUUCCACCUACUGUAGAAGGGGAUAAAGUUCCUAUAGUGCAUGUAAAAAAAUCUGCUGGGGAAAACAAUCUGGGUUACUCCUGCCUCAGGCAAAGGUACACCCAUCUGUGGGACUGCUGUUGCUCAAGGACCUGGGUGCAUUUGCUGGGUAAUGUGGAAGGACUGGGAAUUCCGAUGCAUACCUCAAGGGAAUUUGAUUUUGGAUGAGAAUAGCCAAUGAAUUAAAUUCUAUGUUAAUUGCUAUUAACACUGUAUUAUCACUUCUAUAGUGACUAUAUGCUCAUCAGUGCAUUGUCUCUGCCACUCCGAUUUGGGGAUUUGACCCUGACUGUUCUUAUCUU